rnacentral:rRNA from 1 species
CCUUUCACCCCAGCAUGUAUGCCACCUGCAGUUCAGAUGAGGUAAUUCACCAGAAGCUAAGCAGGUCUGGGCCGGCCCAGUACUUGGAUGGGAGACUAACAAGAAAAGCUGGAUUGCUGCUGAAAGAG